UCUAGCGUUCCUAAAAAAGAAGCCACGCAACGCCUCGUGCAGGCCUUUUCUUAGAUGGUGCUGGAAAAACCAGGCAAAAAAUUUGAAAGCACAAACGAAACGCUUCCAAAGAUUCCUUAACAUGGACAACACCCGCAAAACUAUUGGAGCAAUCAACGACAAAAAUGAUAGGCAACGUAACAGAGCAAUCAAAAUACCGAAGCGUCCAACUCUGUACCCCCCAAGCACUUGGACAAGAGGAGGGGCGGUACAAACAACAUCACCGAGCACUAUUCCAGACCGGGUCCGUUUUCUACGAUGGCAACCUGAGAACCUAGCGUCUUCCAACACGUAGGCACGAAAAACUUGUGGGGCUCAUCAGUCGGCCGCAAAAAGCGGGGGGCCUGACAUAGCACACACAACAAUCACCACUCACAUGCCGUCACGGUCACAACCCGCCAAAGACCUUUGCUUUUCCCCCACGCGCUAAAAAAA
rnacentral:rRNA from 1 species